rnacentral:lncRNA from 1 species
UCUCAUGCCACGUGCGUGAGCACCACGGAGAAGAAAGGAUAAUAGUGGCACGGGUGGCUGACAUGUGGGGCCGGACGGUCAGCGGCUGCGGCGUGGAGGCGGUUUGGCCAGAAAAUUGGAGGUUCAGGAAUAUGAAAACCGGAAGUUCCGGUUUUGCACCAUUGGGUUGUUAGAUAGGUGGGCUGAUGAGGUUAGUUGGGUUGAUUGGUCCCAGGUUAGGUUUGGUUAGCUUUUGAUUUGUAUUUGAAUUCCAAUUCAAAUACAAAUCCCACUCAAACAAAUCCAAAUAAACUUCAAAUAUUCACACUAGCACAUAAUACACCUUAGCAAUUCAAUUUAAUUCAUAACUUAAUUCUAUGAAUUUUCGGAAAGAUUCAAUGAUGACACUCUUAUAAUUUGGAAGUUUCACUCCACAGUACAAAAUUUUUGAAAUCCACAUUUUUUGCAAAUUCAAAACAUCUCGUAAAAAUACGGGAUAUUACGAUACACUACGUGGCACCACUUCCAUUGUGGUGUUGGCGCAAAAAUCAGGCCAACACAUGAACGCACUCAAACAUGCGGCGCUCAGAGGGGCUCCUUGUAGCUCAUUUGUGC